rnacentral:lncRNA from 1 species
AAUAUCAUUUAUCAAAAUAGAUUGAUUUUUAUUUCUACUCUUUAAAUUUAUAAAUGGAUUUAAAAUAAAAUAUUUAAUCAAUUUGUUUAAUAUCUAUAGUUAAUUUAAACAAUUACUUCAAUAAAUUAAUUAUUUGCUUCCUUUUUUUUUAUAGAAUUUUAAAUGUUUUACAAAACCGCAUUUAAUUUAAAUGUCAUUUUACUAGGUAGAUUGAUCAAUAUUGAUAGUACAAGGUCCGACACACAGGCCAUAGUACUAAAAGACGUAUCCCAAAGUACCUAGUACGCAGAGGAGGGGGGAGUACUGGUGAUACAGUAUCCCGAACACGGUCACAACCUACCAGCAACUAGAAGUCCGG